rnacentral:tRNA from 1 species
GUUUAAAUAGCUUAAAUUUAAAGCAUGUUAUUGAAGAUACCAUUAUGAUUAUUUUAAUCUUUAAACA